rnacentral:rRNA from 1 species
GACGAACGCUGGCGGCGUGCUUAACACAUGCAAGUCGAACGGAAAGGCCCUGCUUUUGUGGGGUGCUCGAGUGGCGAACGGGUGCGUAACACGUGAGUAACCUGCCCUUGACUUUGGGAUAACUUCAGGAAACUGAGGCUAAUACCGGAUAGGAGCUCCUGCUGCAUGGUGGGGGUUGGAAAGUUUCGGCGGUUGGGGAUGGACGCGCGGCUUAUCAGCUUGUUGGUGGGGUAGUGGCUUACCAAGGCUUUGACGGGUAGCCGGCCUGGGAGGGUGACCGGCGACCUGGGGACUGAGGUACGGACCAGAGGCCUACGGUAGGCAGCAGUGGGGAAUAUGGCACAACGGGCGGAAGCCGGAUGCAGCAACGCCGCGGUCGGGAUGACGGCCUGCGGGUUGUAAACCGCUUUCGCCUGUGACGAAGCGGGAGUGACGGUAAUGGGUAAAUAAGCACCGGCUAACUACGUG